CCAAUAGCGUAUAUUAAAGUUGUUGCAGUUAAAAAGCUCGUAGUUGAAUUUCGGGGUUAGUAGGUUGGUCAUGCCUCUGGUAUGUACUGGUCUCACUGAUUCCUCCUUCCUGAUGAGCCGUAAUGCCAUUAAUUUGGUGUUGCGGGGAAUUUGGACUGUUACUUUGAAAAAAUUAGAGUGUUUAAAGCAAGCUAACGCUUGAAUACAUUAGCAUGGAAUAAUGAAAUAGGACGUUCGAUCCUAUUUUGUUGGUUUCUAGGAUUGACGUAAUGAUUAAUAGGGAUAGUUGGGGGCAUUAGUAUUCAAUUGUCAGAGGUGAAAUUCUUGGAUUUAUUGAAGACUAACUACUGCGAAAGCAUUUGCCAAGGAUGUUUUCAUUAAUCAAGAACGAAAGUUAGGGGAUCGAAGACGAUCAGAUACCGUCGUAGUCUUAACCAUAAACUAUGCCGACUAGGGAUCGGAUGAUGUUAAUUUUUUAAUGACUCAUUCGGCGCCUUAC
rnacentral:rRNA from 2 species